ACAUAAACACGGAGUAUACUGCCGUGGAUCGUUCAUUCCUUGGCAAAGACUGGAGCACGGUUCGGUUGAAAAUUUUGCUGAUUAUACGACACUAUGAAGUUGUCUACGUGUAUGCUGAUCGUUGCCCUACUUGUUGUGACAACCAUUAUUGACAACUCAGAGACCCGGAAGUUAAGCAGGCGAUCGGCUAGGAAGAGGGCCCUAAGCGAAGAAGAGCGAAAGGACAUUGCUGAGUUGGCCAAGCCGCUCUUGCAGGUAAUUGCAGAGACGAAUGAGGAGCCAGCUGCAGGGGAGCUUCACGAGAUGAAACUCGGGGGCCGAAAUGUUUACCUCAAGAGCUAGCUGAGAAAUACAGUGUUUGCAGGACAUCAUAACGCAGAACAAUUUUUGUUUUCAAUAUUUUCAAAACAAAGGGAAUGAAUUGAUGAGUAUUUUUUAAUGUUGACGGAGAAAUGUAUGGUUAAAUUGGAUUUGAUAAUGACUUAUGGCACUCACUCACUUCUAUACUUUUUGUAUUACAUUGAAGGUACUAAUGGUAAUGUUGUAAUAAAUAGAAACACGCCAAUGUUUCGUUUUCCUUUUUUUCUUAGUUUGAGAAAUCCACUGGUCCACAAUUAUCUAGCAUGAAUAUGUAAAUUAUCUCAAUAUGUGUCACCAUAACAUGUUUCAAUUAAAACAAAAUGUAGAAUACUAACAAAAAAAAUGUAUGGUUAUAUUCCGCACCAGAAGCAAGUAUUAUUUUCUAAUACAUGGUAUAUUUGGGAUACAUUCACAA